rnacentral:rRNA from 1 species
UCGUAACAAGGUCUCCGUUGGUGAACCAGCGGAGGGAUCAUUACUGAGUUUACGCUCUACAACCCUUUGUGAACAUACCUACAACUGUUGCUUCGGCGGGUAGGGUCUCCGCGACCCUCCCGGCCUCCCGCCUCCGGGCGGGUCGGCGCCCGCCGGAGGAUAACCAAACUCUGAUUUAACGACGUUUCUUCUGAGUGGUACAAGCAAAUAAUCAAAACUUUUAACAACGGAUCUCUUGGUUCUGGCAUCGAUGAAGAACGCAGCGAAAUGCGAUAAGUAAUGUGAAUUGCAGAAUUCAGUGAAUCAUCGAAUCUUUGAACGCACAUUGCGCCCGCCAGCAUUCUGGCGGGCAUGCCUGUUCGAGCGUCAUUUCAACCCUCAAGCUCUGCUUGGUGUUGGGGCCCUACAGCCGAUGUAGGCCCUCAAAGGUAGUGGCGGACCCUCCCGGAGCCUCCUUUGCGUAGUAACUUUACGUCUCGCACUGGGAUCCGGAGGGACUCUUGCCGUAAAACCCCCCAAUUUUCCAAAGGUUGACCUCGGAUCAGGUAGGAAUACCCGCUGAACUUAAGCAUAUCA